AGAGUUUGAUCCUGGCUCAGGAUGAACGCUGGCGGCGUGCCUAAUACAUGCAAGUCGAGCGAACGGACGAGAAGCUUGCUUCUCUGAUGUUAGCGGCGGACGAGUGAGUAACACGUGGAUAACCUACCUAUAAGACUGGGAUAACUUCGGGAAACCGGAGCUAAUACCGGAUAAUAUUUUGAACCGCAUGGUUCAAAAGUGAAAGACGGUCUUGCUGUCACUUAUAGAUGGAUCCGCGCUGCAUUAGCUAGUUGGUAAGGUAACGGCUUACCAAGGCAACGAUGCAUAGCCGACCUGAGAGGGUGAUCGGCCACACUGGAACUGAGACACGGUCCAGACUCCUACGGGAGGCAGCAGUAGGGAAUCUUCCGCAAUGGGCGAAAGCCUGACGGAGCAACGCCGCGUGAGUGAUGAAGGUCUUCGGAUCGUAAAACUCUGUUAUUAGGGAAGAACAUAUGUGUAAGUAACUGUGCACAUCUUGACGGUACCUAAUCAGAAAGCCACGGCUAACUACGUGCCAGCAGCCGCGGUAAUACGUAGGUGGCAAGCGUUAUCCGGAAUUAUUGGGCGUAAAGCGCGCGUAGGCGGUUUUUUAAGUCUGAUGUGAAAGCCCACGGCUCAACCGUGGAGGGUCAUUGGAAACUGGAAAACUUGAGUGCAGAAGAGGAAAGUGGAAUUCCAUGUGUAGCGGUGAAAUGCGCAGAGAUAUGGAGGAACACCAGUGGCGAAGGCGACUUUCUGGUCUGUAACUGACGCUGAUGUGCGAAAGCGUGGGGAUCAAACAGGAUUAGAUACCCUGGUAGUCCACGCCGUAAACGAUGAGUGCUAAGUGUUAGGGGGUUUCCGCCCCUUAGUGCUGCAGCUAACGCAUUAAGCACUCCGCCUGGGGAGUACGACCGCAAGGUUGAAACUCAAAGGAAUUGACGGGGACCCGCACAAGCGGUGGAGCAUGUGGUUUAAUUCGAAGCAACGCGAAGAACCUUACCAAAUCUUGA
rnacentral:rRNA from 2 species